UCCAGACUCCUACGGGAGGCAGCAGUAGGGAAUCUUCCACAAUGGACGAAAGUCUGAUGGAGCAACGCCGCGUGAGUGAAGAAGGGUUUCGGCUCGUAAAGCUCUGUUGGUAGUGAAGAAAGAUAGAGGUAGUAACUGGCCUUUAUUUGACGGUAAUUUCUUAGAAAGUCACGGCUAACUACGUGCCAGCAGCCGCGGUAAUACGUAGGUGGCAAGCGUUGUCCGGAUUUAUUGGGCGUAAAGCGAGUGCAGGCGGUUCAAUAAGUCUGAUGUGAAAGCCUUCGGCUCAACCGGAGAAUUGCAUCAGAAACUGUUGAACUUGAGUGCAGAAGAGGAGAGUGGAACUCCAUGUGUAGCGGUGGAAUGCGUAGAUAUAUGGAAGAACACCGAUGGCGAAGGCAGCCUCCUGGGACGCAACUGACGCUCAUACACGAAAGCGUGGGGAGCAAACAGGAUUAGAUACCCCCGUA
rnacentral:rRNA from 1 species